rnacentral:tRNA from 1 species
GGUAGAGCAGGGGACUGAAAAUCCCCGUGUCAUUGGUUCGAUUCCGAUCGGAGGCACCA